rnacentral:lncRNA from 1 species
GGAAGCUGCCGGGGCCAGGCUCAGGCUGUGGCUGGUCCAUCCCAUGCUGGACCAAGUUGUCCCUAACCCUCCAGGGCUCUCUCACAUCUGGGGAAAGAUCUGUGGGCUUCUGGACAGCAUUUCAUUUGGCUACAUCUUGUGCUUGUGGCACUAUGCGGGGCCUCUGGGGAACUUCUUUUGCUCACCAUAUUUCCUCAUUUCCCGACCUGUCCCCUGCACAGCCAGGUUCCCUUUGGAAUGCCAUCUGGAGCAGCAAUGGCCCCCGGACAGGCCGGCUAAGCAGCAGGGCAGCCACUCCCCAGAGCAAGCCUGGUGGCCCAGCCGGUGUGAGCAAAACAAGAAGACUCUUUCUGCUUCUGAAUGAUCUGGCCCUGCUGCCAUGGGGUCCUUUAUAAACUCUC